AUGUUGACCGACAGAUUUACCGACGAUCAGAAAGGAGCUGCUGCUGAGAUGGGUAUGCGGGCUCUGAUGAACGUCCGGUGCACGAAUCUUGUCAACCCUAUAUGCGACUGGCUUGGUGAGAUUUACGACCCCGCCUCCAGGGAGUUUGUUAUUCCGGGACGUGGAAGACUACCGUUGAACGAGGAAUCCGUGUUCUGCACUUUGGGUGUGCCUCGUGGACAGAUGAAAGUCCCGUACGAGGUCAAUAACAAGAUCGAGGAAGCGCUGUUCCCCCGUUUGUUUCCUGGGUUAGAAUCCAUGCCGGACACGUCUGUACUGGCGAAACUGAAAGAUGUGAAGAACAUGAACUGGUGUAAGUUCAUAGCUGACAUCCUGCACCAUGCAUUCUCAAGCAAGAUGUACCAAAAGGGUUGUCGACUGCAUUUAAUGCUCAUGUAUGUCAACUGUCUUGAUCUGUCCACCAUGGAUUUCACUGGGACAGGAGGUAUCACUCCUACGCACAAGUUUGCUCUUUGUGCGUGGACUAUCAACGAUGUCAAGGCUGUGCUUGCCGCAGACAGGGUAAUUGAUACCAAAUAUGGAAAAUUGCAGCUGAUGGCCAAGCAUGCUAUAGACUACAGCGUGUUUGGGGGGCCUCAAAACUUUUGA
rnacentral:rRNA from 1 species